rnacentral:piRNA from 1 species
UGAGCCCACACUGCAUUUAACUUCUCCGA